rnacentral:rRNA from 1 species
GACGAACGCUGGCGGCGUGCUGAACACAUGCAAGUCGAACGGUAAGGCCCUUCGGGGUACACGAGUGGCGAACGGGUGAGUAACACGUGGGUGAUCUGCCCUGCACUUCGGGAUAAGCCUGGGAAACUGGGUCUAAUACCGGACAGGACCACUGCCUGCAUGGGUGGUGGGGGAAAGCUUUUGCGGUGUGGGAUGGGCCCGCGGCCUAUCAGCUUGUUGGUGGGGUGAUGGCCAACCAAGGCGACGACGGGUAGACGGCCUGCGAGGGUGACCGGCCACACUGGGCCGGGGAAUCGGCCCAGACUCCUACGGAGGGCAGCAGUGGGGACUGUUGCGCAAUGGGCUAAAGCCGGAUGCAGCGACGCCGCGUGGGGGAUGACGGCCUUCGGGUUGUAAACCUCUUUCAGCACCGACGAUGCGCAAGUGACGGUAGGUGCAGAAGAAGGACCGGCCAACUACGUGCCAGCAGCCGCCGUAA